rnacentral:lncRNA from 1 species
UUUUUUUCUUAAGGUUUAUCAAACACACAAGAAGAAAGCUAGAAAAAGAAAUUAAACUAGCAUGGAUAAUACAAUGAAAGAGUAUGAGCACCGACAACUAGAAUAGUGUGUGAACAUGAAUGUAAAGUCCGUGAGAAAUACGUACUCCCCCAAGCUUAGGAUUUUGGCUGUGACGCCCGGGUACUUAAGCUACAGUGAACCUCUACUAACGACGCCACGUCACCUCGGUUACCAUUGAUAAACUCGCGUUGAUUCGAAACCGAAGCAAAUUCAAAUCAAUAAUCAGGUCAAACAAUAAAAAAUUUGCCAAUAUCAAAACUGAAAUGUUCUGGAUAUGACAAGUAAUUCAUAGGUAAUAAUGGUGGAGAAACCACAUUUUUAUAAAAUGCCUAAAUGCUCUAAAAUAAAUAAAACAGCAGCAAAAACAAUUAAUUAAAUGCCUUUUAUAAAGUUAUAAAAAUAUAAACUUAUAUUUGGAGUGUCAACCUUUUUGUGACAGCACCUAUUAUUGCAAUACUAAUUAGGUGUCCAUCUCCACAUUUUACAAAACAAAUUUGCUAAUUGGAUUAAGUGCAAAACAUAGACUAGAAAAAGUUAAAAGAAGAAAAAGGAAAUGCCAAAAAAUAAAAUAAAUAAAUAAAAGAAAACCCCCCUUUCCCUGUUCUCGUGGGCCUCGGCCCACCCGAGCCAACCCACACAACUGAGGGGAUAAGGCCAACCCCCCGUCUCUCAGCCUCGUCAGCAUCUCAGAUAUUUUCCCUCCCCCUCGCUCGUUCCCCUCUCGCUCGCGCGCUCGCUCCUCCCCGAACGCUGCAGUCGCCGUGCACCCCGAGAUCCUGUGGCCACCGUCGCCCUCAUGCCGUGAGGGGUUGACCCCGAGAAGCGCCGUCGUCUACCGCAUCGUCUACAAGGACUAGCUCGAGCUCCUCGCCCCUGCAUCGAGCUGUUCGCCGUCGUCUUCAACCUUGCACCCGUCGGCGACCUCCGUCGGAUUCGUCGUCACCGAGCCCUCCUCGAGCACACUCGGCUUCUCUCCGAGUCCGAUGUGAGCCCCACCGUCCUUCCCCUCCCUUUUCUGCUAUCGUAUUCCUCGCCGUAGAACCGUCCCCGCCCGAGGCCGCCAUGGACGGGAGCGAAGCUCCUGUGUGCGCCCGCGCGAUGUUGCUGCUGCUGUCGCCAGGCCAUGCCUCGCCUCUGGUCGCGCCCCUCGCUGACCAUCGAUUCCCCGCGCGCCGGCAAGCCCUCUAGCCGCCUGCUACCUUCACCUCUGCUGCCGCCGCUACUUCUGCUCCGCGUGCUGCCGUCUCUGCUAUGGCCCCGCUGCCGCGCGUCGUCCGCCCUGGCUCCGUCCGGCGCGCCCGCCCCAGCUCCGUCCGACGCGCCCGCCUCAGGCCUCCAUGCCGCCUACCCUGCUCGCCGGUGGCGGCGCUGGCCAAGUCCAGCCGCGGCUGGCAAGAGCCACCACCGAGUCGGGCCAGCCCCUGAUUAGUUUAGGGCUUAAUCCCCCUUCCCCACUAAUCUGUUGCUAACAACCGAGACCCACCACUAAUAAAAACUAAUUAAAUCCAUUUGUUAAAAUAAUGUGACCCAAUGACAGGUAGCCCCCACCUCUAAAUAUCUUUUUUUAAGAAUGUGUUAAAACUGUAAGUAUGACACCUGGGCCCCCACUGGCCCGCUUUGACCAGUCAACUGGGACUGUUGACUGGUGACUCAGCAGUCAACAGGCCCCACCUAUCAUAGACACCCACACACUGCUGGGUACACUUACGUGUACCCAUAGCAGUUAUGUAUUUAAUAUUUUUAAAUUAAAAAGAAUUCCAGGAAUUGCAGAAUAUUAAUAAAACUUCAAAAAUUAAUAUAAAAUAAACCGUAUCUCGGAUGAAAAAGUUUUAUAUAUGAAAGUUGCUCUAAACAACGAGACGAAUCCGGAUACGCGGUCCAUUCGUCCGCCACACCCCCCUAACCUAUCGAACCCGCAACUUUCCCCCUCCGGCUCCUCUGCCCGAAAACAUGAAACACCGGGAAUACUUUCCCGGAUGAUUCCCCCCUUAACCAGUACCACCUCAUACCGCGCUAGAACACGUCUAGCUCUGCUUGUUGACCUGUUAUGCACUUGCUUGCUAUGUAUUUACUGUUUCUCCCCCCUCUUCUCUCCGGUAGCCCCCGUGACGAUGCUGAUGCCCCUGUGGACGACUACGUCACCGACGACCCCUCUCUCUUGCCAGAGCAACCAGGCAAGCCUCCCCUUUGAUCACCAGAUAUCGCCUACUCUUCUCUAUACUGCUUGCAUUAGAGUAGUGUAGCAUGUUACUGCCUUCAGUUAAUCCUAUACUGCUGCAUAGCAUGUCCUUGCUACUACUGUUGUUACCUUUACCUGCUAUCCUACUGCUUAGUAUAGGAUGCUAGUGUUCCAUCAGUGGCCCUACACUCUUGUCCGUCUGCCAUGCUAUACUACUGGGCUGUGAUCACUUCGGGAGGUGAUCACGGGCAUAUACUAUAUACUUUACACUGUUACAUUACCUGUGAUACUGUUCGGAGUUGGGGGCUGAAAGGACAGGUGGCUCCAUCCCGGUAGAGGUGGGCCUGGGUUCCCGACGGCCCCCGACUGUUACUUUGUGGCGGAGCGGGAGGGCAGGUUGAGACCACCUAGGAGACAGGUGGGCCUGGCCCUGUUCGGCGUUCGCGGAUACUUAACACGCUUAACGAGAUCUUGGUAUUUGAUCUGAGUCGGCUACGAGCCUAUACGCACUAACCAUCUACGUGGGAGUAGUUAUGGGUAUCCCGACGUCGUGGUAUCAGCCGAAGCACUUCAGACGUCAGCGACGGAGCGGCGCGCGCCGAAUUGGAACGUAAGCCUGCUCUUGUAUUAAGGGGGCUAGUUCUGCUUUCGGCCGCGUACGCAACGUGCAGGUGUGCUAUGGGCGAUGGGCCCAGACCCCUGUGCGCUUAGGUUUAGACCGGCGUGCUGGCCUCUCUGUUUUGCCUAGGUGGGGCUGCGACGUGUUGAUCUUCCGAGGCCGGGCAUGACCCAAGAAAGUGUGUCCGGCCAAAUGGGAUCGAGCGUGUUGGGCUAUGUGGUGCACCCCUGCAGGGAAGUUAAUCUAUUCGAAUAGCCGUGAUCUUCGGUAACAGGACGACUUGGAGUUGUACCUUGACCUUAUGACAACUAGAACCGGAUACUUAAUAAAACACACCCUUCCAAGUUCCACAGACAAUCCGGUGAUCGCUUUUCCGCAGGGUGACGAGGAGAGGAUUGCCGGGUAGGAUUAUGCUAUGCGAUGCUACUGGAGAUGCUACUUGGAGAUGCUACUUGGAGAUGCUACUUGGGGGACUCAAUCUACUCUCUUCUACAUGCUGCAAGACGGAGGCUACCAGAAGCGUAGUCUUCGACAGGAUUAGCUAUCCCCCUCUUAUUCUGGCAUUCUGCAGUUCAGUCCACCGAUAUGGCCCUUUACACAUAUACCCAUGCAUAUGUAGUGUAGCUCCUUGCUUGCGAGUACUUUAGAUGAGUACUCACGGUUGCUUUUCUCCCUCUUUUCCCCUUUCCCUUCUACCUGGUUGUCGCAACCAGAUGCUGGAGCCCUGGAGCCAGACGCCACCAUCGACGAUGAUUCCUACUACACUGGAGGUGCCUACUACUACGUGCAGGCCGCUGACGACGACCAGGAGUAGUUAGGAGGAUCCCAGGCAGGAGGCCUACGCCUCUUUCGAUCUGUAUCCCAGUUUGUGCUAGCCAUCUUAUGGCAACUUGUUUAACUUAUGUCUGUACUCAGAUAUUGUUGCUUCCGCUGACUCGUCUAUGAUCGAGCACUUGAAUUCGAGCCCUCGAGGCCCCUGGCUUGUAUUAUGAUGCUUGUAUGACUUAUUUUAUUUGUAAAGUUGUGUUGUGAUAUCUUCCCGUGAGUCCCUGAUCUUGAUCGUACACCUUUGCGUGUAUGAUUAGUGUACGGUCAAAUCGGGGGUGUCACAAGUUGGUAUCAGAGCCGACUGCCUGUAGGAAUCCCCCUUUCCAACUCCUUGGCCGAAGUCGAGUCUAGUCGUUGAAAAACUUUUACUAACAUGGCUGUGUGGCCCAUGGGCCCACGUCGCCAUCGGGAGGUAUUAGGAUCUUUUAUUCCUCGACCUUUACUCUGGGAUUCUGAACCCUCUUCUAUUCGGGUUAAACGAUUUUUACUAAAAACUAACUUUAGGUUCUCGAAAAUACUUUCUCCCGGAGAGCCCCUUCAGUCCAGAUGGUCACCGACUGCACCAGAAGAUUUCGGAGAUACUCUUUGAUAUUCUCUCGAGACUUGUGCCCAUCACUUUUGCUAUUCCCGACCACCGAUAAAUCCUUAUGGAUAACUACUUACACUUGCCAUUCUUACUAUCAUUCCCCAUUGUUCUUGUUAUUACAAGAUACCCGAAGUUUUCUCUAUUGUUCCGAGAAUACUUCGUGCCUACUGCCUAGCAGUUCUUUGCCACCUGAAUACCCCUAAGAAUAACUUCUCGCACCUUCCGAGUAUCCGCUCAUCCCAGUUGUUCAGGUGUUUCACAAAAGUCUUUGAAAUACUAUUCAAUCCUCCGAAAAUCCUUAGCAGCUUUAUUGCUCUGCAAAUACUUGUCUACUAGCAUUAUGGAUGCUUCCCAUAUAUCUGGCAAUAUUCACUAGUAUCUUUUGACACCGUCAUUUUGAUCCUAUUGAUUCAACAUGUGUGCGAAUGCACACAAUCAUCUAUCAACCCUUCUAACUUAUCUUUCCGAAUGAGACAUCAUUUUUGAACAUGAGCUGGUUCUCGACCAAACUAUUUGUCGCCAAUUGUGCCUCUGGUUUAUCCAACUUAUCCAUCCUUGGUCAGAGCGACUGCUUCUGAUCUUUUGUUUUGGAAAUCAUAAUUCCUUUGUUAUCUAAGCAUCGAAUUAUUCCGAUGUUCUAUAAUAUGAUGCCCGUGCAUUCUUUCUGGAAUACCGAUACUCACCUCAACUCCGUUGUGGAUUGCCCGAUCCAUUGUUGGAUUGCUAUCCGACAGUGUCCUUCAUAUUCAAUCACCUUGUGAGUUCUUCCCCUGAUACAUAGUGCCUUUGGUAAAUUGUAUCAUCUGCUUGGCCAACCAUGCUCUGCUUUCGAGCUGGUGGUAUUUACUAUUGAAGUUUGUGGUAUAUGUUCCUAAGAUGCCCUGAUGGGUUGAACCUACGCCUUCCCUAAUCCGUGUGAACCCGAAAGAUUACACGGGUCAUAUUUAUCUGGUAUUGCACCAGGUAAAAAAAACACUUUCAACAACUAAUGUCAUUUUCGAAAUACGAGAGGUGAAUGAAAGGUUAGGCAUUGAAGAAGUGGGAGUCGACCUUGAACUUUGUGUUCAUGCCCAUGGACAUGAUGUAGAUCAUAUCAUUAAAGCUUCUCUUAAAUUAAUUAUUCCCUUGGUAUAAGUUCUUAUAUCUGGGAUUUGGCCUAUUGCAAUCGUGGUUCCAACCAUGAUCUCCUUGAAAUACCAUUUCUCGUGCAAGUUUAAGCACUUACCUUCUUUAGAGCAAUACCCUAGUCUAAGCUCUACUUUGGACUAUCGUCGAGUAUUACCCCCGGUAUCUCGAGAUUAUCUUGGAACUGCAUAACUCCUUAUGAGUUCUUCAUCAAGUACUACAUUCUCACUGAUUACAAUUUUUCAUGGGCUCUGAGUUAUUAAACACUCAGAGACAUCGAUAACUGAACCGAGUCCGCACUACGGUUCAACAACUCUCAGUAAUCUUCUUUAAGUACGAGUUUGUACCCGAUCACGCCAUUCCUAGCCUGUUUGGCUAUAUCAUUGCCUUGAUGAUUUCAAACUGUGCCACCUGGUCCUUAUUCCGGGAGCACCAGUUUCGACGAUGAGCUAAGCUUACGUCGAUCUUCCUCGUCAUACCAUUUCUCCUUGACCAACAAACUUGAUUUCGAGUUUGUGUCGUACCCUUGGUUCCAAUAACCUUUCGCUUCGCCAAUUCCUUUGACUUGUUGACGUCGCCGAUCGAUUACAUCUUCAUGAACUCUCGCGACAAAGGUGUCGUGAUCAUCAACAUUCUGAGCUCAUCCAGGAUAUCAAUUGAAUUCAUGAUGAGAAAUACCAUCCUUGCCCUCGAUGAAUUGUAUUAUCAUCGACCACUUUAUUGCCUUCCCACCAACACAAGCUUGUUCAUGUUUGGUGUUAUACCUUGAGUUCCUUGCUAUCCAGCAAUUGUUCUCUUUACCUUGGAGUAUUACCAUCCCUUAUGUCAAGAAUGUUCUGAGAUUUGUUCCACCUCUUGAGAAUUAUUGACAUAGAAAUACUUCUCACCAUCACCAUUCUUUAUUGGUCCCCGUGUUAAUUCCAACAAGUGAACGGUGUUGUUUGGAUUCUUUCCUUCUAGCAACCCUAUUUUUUUGAAGUUAAUGGUCGAAAGUUCAUUCUUAGACUAUUUGACUAUUGAAUCACCAUUCUGACAUUGGUCGUGCAACCCAACCCAUAUUUCGGGCGCACCUUUCAACCAAUGUUUAAUUGUGUAUGUUUUCCUCGAGCAUACUUCCUUAUAUCAUUUGAUCUGACCAAUGUUAUCUCCUUGUUCACUUAAUUGUGGAGAUCCAUCUUUUGGAUACCUCGUUGAAUUAUCGCUGAGUCCAUCAGCCACCUCAUCAUCCUCUCCUUGGGUUAAUGAUGAACUCUUGUUAACGGAAAUCACUUCAUAGUUCAUUUCCCCGAGAAUCUUACAAUGUCUUCUCGUCUAUUUGUGUCGCACCCUUUUCUUCUCAGGCAUCCUGAGUCUGAGGUAUCAUGACACCAAUCGGAUUUGAAUCUUGGUCAGAUAUGAUGGUUGGGACAUAUUUCCAAGAGUUAUAACAUUGGUAUUUAUAUGACCCGGUAAGGUGGUGUCAUGCCUAGUACACCUGGCCAGAGGACCUAUUGUUAUAGUUUCCUUGUCAGCAAGGCUAUCGAUUCUUCCAUGAGGAAAUUGUAAGACUUAUUCUAUAAGUUGUUCCUGAGGGAUCCUUUGUGAAUCCAAAGUCCGACCUUUGCUUGAAGACCAUGACAAUGCUAUCUCGAAGCAUGUCUGUGGUACUCCGAUUUUCAACAAGAACAUUUAAAGCCCAAUGCUAAAUGUUUCUUGAUCAAUUAUCCAAACACCGCAGUGUGGGUAGUGUCAUAAAAAUUUUCUCCCCUACCUAAAGAGUUUUCUACAUUAUAUCCUGACAUGGAUAUCAUGCUCUGCUUGUCCUUGGGAAGGAUAUACCCUUGAAAUAUGUGGUUAAACAUAAUUUCCUUUCCACUGUUCUGUUUAAUCUGAUGAUCAUAUUUUCCUUCUAUUGUUGGUUUAACCUUUCUUGUGAACUAUAUGAUCUGAGCAGUAAUAUUCUCCUGCUUAUGUAGACACCUCGUUGUACAAUUCUGUCAGUAAGACCCUGUUACUUUUGUUGAUGACAUUCCGGUAACCACCGAUGGACGAGAACUUCGCCUACUGGUCCGCCUCGUUCAACGAGCAGGAAAAUGGUUCUCUUCGUCCCACGCCCUUGGUACCGACAUUGUUGCCGACAUAACUGACAUGCUACUCUCUGACAUGCCUUGCUAUCGUGAUCGUACAAGAUGUCAGCCCCCCCCCUUUCUACUUUUAACCCACGUGGUGGGCCCAUAACCCAUAGGUCCCAGGAUCGAAACCUGACUCUUCUGUACCACCUGUUGUCAAAGUUAUUCCUCGUGCUUGACUUUGUAUGUAAUUCACGGGCCACUUGCCUGUUGAUCUAUUCUGGUAUCGGACACAAUACUUAUUCCCGUUGCUCUGAACCCCUUUCGCACUCUGCUUCAGGCAAUGAACGAUUGCCUAUCCGCUUGAAACUUCUUAUUGCACCGCCUUACUUUGCUCUCGAUAGGUGUAAUUUGUUCAACUCAAGAGAUACUCAUAUGUUCAUUCUUGGGAUACCCCCAGAUGAAUUUCCCUUAUACCAUUCUACCGUUGUAGAGUAGCCCCUUACCUAUUCAUGAGUACGACAUAAUUUUCAAAGAAAGUAGGACGACUUCAUCAUGAUGACCUGAAAAGAAGAGAAAUAAAGACACCAACGAGGAGGAUCAAGUACUUCAGGAAGAGCAACCAAGACCGGGAAGACCCAUUAGAAUUUCGCAACCAAGUCUUUCCCCCUUACUCCCGUCCUAAAUCUCGGGACGAGAUUUCUUGUAGUGGAGGAGAAUUGUGAUGCCCGGGUACUUAAGCUACAGUGAACCUCUACUAACGACGCCACAUCACCUCGGUUACCAUUGAUAAACUCGCGUUGAUUCGAAACCGAAGCAAAUUCAAAUCAAUAAUCAGGUCAAACAAUAAAAAAUUUGCCAAUAUCAAAACUGAAAUGUUCUGGAUAUGACAAGUAAUUCAUAGGUAAUAAUGGUGGAGAAACCACAUUUUUAUAAAAUGCCUAAAUGCUCUAAAAUAAAUAAAACAGCAGCAAAAACAAUUAAUUAAAUGCCUUUUAUAAAGUUAUAAAAAUAUAAACUUAUAUUUGGAGUGUCAACCUUUUUGUGACAGCACCUAUUAUUGCAAUACUAAUUAGGUGUCCAUCUCCACAUUUUACAAAACAAAUUUGCUAAUUGGAUUAAGUGCAAAACAUAGACUAGAAAAAGUUAAAAGAAGAAAAAGGAAAUGCCAAAAAAUAAAAUAAAUAAAUAAAAGAAAACCCCCCUUUCCCUGUUCUCGUGGGCCUCGGCCCACCCGAGCCAACCCACACAACUGAGGGGAUAAGGCCAACCCCCCGUCUCUCAGCCUCGUCAGCAUCUCAGAUAUUUUCCCUCCCCCUCGCUUGUUCCCCUCUCGCUCGCGCGCUCGCUCCUCCCCGAACGCUGCAGUCGCCGUGCACCCCGAGAUCCUGUGGCCACCGUCGCCCUCAUGCCUGAGGGGUUGACCCCGAGAAGCGCCGUCGUCUACCGCAUCGUCUACAAGGACUAGCUCGAGCUCCUCGCCCCUGCAUCGAGCUGUUCGCCGUCGUCUUCAACCUUGCACCCGUCGGCGACCUCCGUCGGAUUCGUCGUCACCGAGCCCUCCUCGAGCACACUCGGCUUCUCUCCAAGUCCGAUGUGAGCCCCACCGUCCUUCCCCUCCCUUUUCCGCUAUCGUAUUCCUCGCCGUAGAACCGUCCCCGCCCGAGGCCGCCAUGGACGGGAGCGAAGCUCCUGUGUGCGCCCGCGCGAUGUUGCUGCUGCUGUCGCCAGGCCAUGCCUCGCCUCUGGUCGCGCCCCUCGCUGACCAUCGAUUCCCCGCGCGCCGGCAAGCCCUCUAGCCGCCUGCUACCUUCACCUCUGCUGCCGCCGCUACUUCUGCUCCGCGUGCUGCCGUCUCUACUAUGGCCCCGCUGCCGCGCGUCGUCCGCCCUGGCUCCGUCCGGCGCGCCCGCCUCAGGCCUCCAUGCCGCCUACCCUGCUCGCCGGUGGCGGCGCUGGCCAAGUCCAGCCGCGGCUGGCAAGAGCCACCACCGAGUCGGGCCAGCCCCUGAUUAGUUUAGGGCUUAAUCCCCCUUCCCCACUAAUCUGUUGCUAACAACCGAGACCCACCACUAAUAAAAACUAAUUAAAUCCAUUUGUUAAAAUAAUGUGACCCAAUGACAGGUAGCCCCCACCUCUAAAUAUCUUUUUUUAAGAAUGUGUUAAAACUGUAAGUAUGACACCUGGGCCCCCACUGGCCCGCUUUGACCAGUCAACUGGGACUGUUGACUGGUGACUCAGCAGUCAACAGGUCCCACCUAUCAUAGACACCCACACACUGCUGGGUACACUUACGUGUACCCAUAGCAGUUAUGUAUUUAAUAUUUUUAAAUUAAAAAGAAUUCCAGGAAUUGCAGAAUAUUAAUAAAACUUCAAAAAUUAAUAUAAAAUAAACCGUAUCUCGGAUGAAAAAGUUUUAUAUAUGAAAGUUGCUCUAAACAACGAGACGAAUCCGGAUACGCAGUCCGUUCGUCCGCCACACCCCCCUAACCUAUCGAACCUGCAACUUUCCCCCUCCGGCUCCUCUGCCCGAAAACAUGAAACACCGGGAAUACUUUCCCGGAUGAUUCCCCCCUUAACCAGUACCACCUCAUACCGCGCUAGAACACGUCUAGCUCUGCUUGUUGACCUGUUAUGCACUUGCUUGCUAUGUAUUUACUGUUUCUCCCCCCUCUUCUCUCCGGUAGCCCCCGUGACGAUGCUGAUGCCCCUGUGGACGACUACGUCACCGACGACCCCUCUCUCUUGCCAGAGCAACCAGGCAAGCCUCCCCUUUGAUCACCAGAUAUCGCCUACUCUUCUCUAUACUGCUUGCAUUAGAGUAGUGUAGCAUGUUACUGCCUUCAGUUAAUCCUAUACUGCUGCAUAGCCUGUCCUUGCUACUACUGUUGUUACCUUUACCUGCUAUCUUACUGCUUAGUAUAGGAUGCUAGUGUUCCAUCAGUGGCCCUACACUCUUGUCCGUCUGCCAUGCUAUACUACUGGGCUGUGAUCACUUCGGGAGGUGAUCACGGGCAUAUACUAUAUACUUUACACUGUUACAUUACCUGUGAUACUGUUCGGAGUUGGGGGCUGAAAGGACAGGUGGCUCCAUCCCGGUAGAGGUGGGCCUGGGUUCCCGACGGCCCCCGACUGUUACUUUGUGGCGGAGCGGGAGGGCAGGUUGAGACCACCUAGGAGACAGGUGGGCCUGGCCCUGUUCGGCGUUCGCGGAUACUUAACACGCUUAACGAGAUCUUGGUAUUUGAUCUGAGUCGGCUACGAGCCUAUACGCACUAACCAUCUACGUGGGAGUAGUUAUGGGUAUCCCGACGUCGUGGUAUCAGCCGAAGCACUUCAGACGUCAGCGACGGAGCGGCGCGCGCCGAAUUGGAACGUAAGCCUGCUCUUGUAUUAAGGGGGCUAGUUCUGCUUUCGGCCGCGUACGCAACGUGCAGGUGUGCUAUGGGCGAUGGGCCCAGACCCCUGUGCGCUUAGGUUUAGACCGGCGUGCUGGCCUCUCUGUUUUGCCUAGGUGGGGCUGCGACGUGUUGAUCUUCCGAGGCCGGGCAUGACCCAAGAAAGUGUGUCCGGCCAAAUGGGAUCGAGCGUGUUGGGCUAUGUGGUGCACCCCUGCAGGGAAGUUAAUCUAUUCGAAUAGCCGUGAUCUUCGGUAACAGGACGACUUGGAGUUGUACCUUGACCUUAUGACAACUAGAACCGGAUACUUAAUAAAACACACCCUUCCAAGUUCCACAGACAAUCCGGUGAUCGCUUUUCCGCAGGGCGACGAGGAGAGGAUUGCCGGGUAGGAUUAUGCUAUGCGAUGCUACUGGAGAUGCUACUUGGAGAUGCUACUUGGAGAUGCUACUUGGGGGACUCAAUCUACUCUCUUCUACAUGCUGCAAGACGGAGGCUACCAGAAGCGUAGUCUUCGACAGGAUUAGCUAUCCCCCUCUUAUUCUGGCAUUCUGCAGUUCAGUCCACCGAUAUGGCCCUUUACACAUAUACCCAUGCAUAUGUAGUGUAGCUCCUUGCUUGCGAGUACUUUAGAUGAGUACUCACGGUUGCUUUUCUCCCUCUUUUCCCCUUUCCCUUCUACCUGGUUGUCGCAACCAGAUGCUGGAGCCCUGGAGCCAGACGCCACCGUCGACGAUGAUUCCUACUACACUGGAGGUGCCUACUACUACGUGCAGGCCGCUGACGACGACCAGGAGUAGUUAGGAGGAUCCCAGGCAGGAGGCCUGCGCCUCUUUCGAUCUGUAUCCCAGUUUGUGCUAGCCAUCUUAUGGCAACUUGUUUAACUUAUGUCUGUACUCAGAUAUUGUUGCUUCCGCUGACUCGUCUAUGAUCGAGCACUUGAAUUCGAGCCCUCGAGGCCCCUGGCUUGUAUUAUGAUGCUUGUAUGACUUAUUUUAUUUGUAAAGUUGUGUUGUGAUAUCUUCCCGUGAGUCCCUGAUCUUGAUCGUACACCUUUGCGUGUAUGAUUAGUGUACGGUCAAAUCGGGGGUGUCACAUUGGCCUAAGUUGGUCUAUGCCCAAGGGCUACUCUCCCCGGUGUACUGAGAAGUGUCAUCUGGACACCACUGGCUAGCGCUCUCCUCCGGAUCCCACUGAUAACAUGAUGGACGAUAAGGGUCCAAUGGUGGUUCCGGCUCAGGCUCUGGGGCUGAUGUCUGGCCUCGGUAUGCGUACACGGCCUUCGGCAAGACGAGGUAAUGGCCUGCAGUUAAAUCAAACAAAGAAGGCGCAGGCAAGGUAAUAAUCUCAUUGUGUUUCUUAGGUAUUCCACCCUUAAAAGUGUAAUUAGCAAGCAUGGUGGAAAUCUCAGCUUUCGGUAUCUUUCUUUUAUUCAUAAUGAUAUCCUUCAUAUAUUUAGCAUAAGGAUUUACUUUAAGCAUAUCAGUUAAGCGCAUACGUAAGAAGAUAGGUCUAAUCAUUUCAGCAAAGCGCUCAAAAUCCUCAUCAUCCUUUUUUUGGAUGGCUUAGGAGGAAAAGGCAUGGGUUUCUAAACCCAUGGUUCUCUUUCUUUACCGUGCUUCCUAGCAACAAAGUCUCUUUUAUCAUAGCGUUGAUUCUUUGAUUGUGGGUUAUCAAGAUCAACAGCAGGUUCAAUCUCUACUUCAUUAUUAUUGCUAGGUUGAGCAUCAACAUGAACAUUAUCAUUAACAUUAUCACUAGGUUCAUGUUCAUCACCUGAUUGUGUUUCAGCAUCAGAAAUAGAUAUAUCAUUGGGGUUCUUAGGUGUGUCUACAACAGGUUCACUAGAAGCAUGCAAAGUCCUAUCGUUUUUCUUUUUCUUCUUUUUAGAAGGACUAGGUGCAUCCAAAUUAUUCCUCUGAGAAUCUUGCUCAAUUCUCUUAGGGUGGCCUUCAGGAUACAAAGGUUCCUGAGUCAUUCUACCAGUUCUAGUAGCCACUCUAACAGCAAAAUAAUGUUUAUUAUUUAAUUCAUCAAGCAAAUCAUUUUGAGCUUUAAGUACUUGUUCAGCUUGAGUGGUAACCAUAGAAGCAUAUUUGCUAAUGAGUUUAAGUUCAUCUUUAACUCUAGCCAUAUAAUCACUCAAGCGUCCAAUCAUGUGAGCAUUACUAUUUAAUUCUCUACCAACAUAAGCAUUAAAACUUUCUUGCCUAGCCAUAAAGUCAUCAAAUUCAUCUAAGCAUUGGCUAGGAAAUUUAGUAGACGGGAUUUCAACUUUAUCAUAUCUAUAGAGAGAAUUUACCUUUACAACCUGUGUCGGGUUAUCAAGACAAUGUGUUUCUUCAACAGGCGGUAUAUUAAGACCAUGUAUUUCUUCAAUAGGAGGUAAAUUCUUAACAUCUUCAGCUUUAAUACCUUUUUCUUUCAUAGAUUUCUUUGCCUCUUGCAUAUCUUCAGGACUGAGAAAUAGAACACCCCUCUUCUUUGGAGUUGGUUUCAGAAUAGGUUCAGGAGUUGUCUCAAUUGGCUCAGGAGUUGCCUCAGGAAUUGGCUCAGGAAGAGUCCAAUUAUUUUCAUUAGUCAACAUAUUAUUCGGUAGCAAUUCAGCUUGGUCGACUGUUCUUUCCCUAAAAACACAACCAACACAACUAUCCAAGUGGUCCUUGGAAGCAUCGGUUAGUCCAUUAUAAAAGAUAUCAAGUAUUUCAUUUUUCUUAAGAGGAUGAUCAGGCAAAGCAUUAAGUAAUCAAAGAAGCCUCCCCCAAGCUUGUGGGAGACUCUCUUCUUCGAUUUGCACAAAAUUAUAUAUUUCCCUCAAGGCAGCUUGUUUCUUAUGAGCAGGGAAAUGUUUAGCAGAGAAGUAAUAAAUCAUAUCCUGGGGACUACGCACACAACCAGGAUCAAGAGAAUUAAACCAAGUUUUAGCAUCACACUUUAAUGAGAACAGAAAUAUCUUAAGGAUAUAAUAGUAGUGAGAUUUCUCAUCAUUAGUGAACAGGGUGGCUAUAUCAUUUAACUUAGUAAGGUGUGCCACAACAGUUUCAGAUUCAUAGGCAUAAAAAGGAUCAGAUUCAACCAAAGUAAUAAUUUUAGGGUCGACAGAGAAUUCAUAAUCCUUAUCAGUAACAAAGAUAGGUGAAGUUGCAAAAGCAGGGUCAUAUUUCAUUCUAGUAUUCAGAGUUUCUUGUUUAAGUUUAGCUAAUAACUUCUUAAGAUCAGAUCUAUCAUUGCGAGCAAGAAAAUAUCUAGCAGUUUCUUCAUCCAUAACAUAACCCUCAGGAACAACAUGCAAUUCAUACUUAGGGGGAGAACCUUCAUCAUCACUAUCUUCAAUAAUAUCAUCUUCAAUAAUUUCAUUCUCUCUAACCCUAGCAAGUUGUUCAUCAAGAAAUUCACCUAAUGGCACAGUAGUAUCAAGCAUAGAAGUAGUUUCAUCAUAAGUAUCAUGCAUAGCAGAAGUGGCAUCAUCAAUAACAUGCGACAUAUCAGAAUUCAUAGCAGUAGCAGGUUUAGGUGUCGCAAGCUUACUCAUAACAGAAGGAGAAUCUAGUGCAGAGCUAGAUGGCAGUUCCUUAACUCCCCUCGUAGUUGAGGGAAAAAUCUUAGUUCUUUCGUCUUUCAAGUUCUUCAUAGUGAUCAGCAGAUAUAAAUCCCAAGUGACUCAAAGAAUAGAGCUAUGCUCCCUGGAAACGGCGCCAGAAAAUAGUCUUGAUAACCCACAAGUAUAGGGGAUCGGAACAGUUUUCGAGGGUAGAGUAUUCAACCCAAAUUUAUUGAUUCGACACAAGGGGAGCCAAAGAAUAUUCUCAAGUAUUAGCAGUUGAGUUGUCAAUUCAACCACACAUGGAUAACUUAAUAUUUGCAGCAAAGUAUUUAGUAGCAAAUUAGUAUGAUAGUAAUGGUAACAGUGGUAAAAGUAACGGUAGCAGUUUUGUAGUGAUUGUAACAGUAGCAACGGAAAAGUAAAUAAGCAAAGCACAAUAUGUGAAAAGCUCAUAGGCUUUGGAUCAGUGAUGGAUAAUUAUGUCGGAUGCGAUUCCUCAUGUAAUAGCUAUAACAUAGGGUGACACAGAACUAGCUCCAAUUCAUCAAUGUAAUGUAGGCAUGUAUUCCGAAUAUAGUCAUACGUGCUUAUGGAAAAGAACUUGCAUGACAUCUUUUGUCCUACCCUCCCGUGGCAGCGGGGUCCUAGUGGAAACUAAGGGAUAUUAAUGCCUCCUUUUAAUAGAGUGCCGGACCAAAGCAUUAACACAUAGUGAAUACAUGAACUCCUUAAACUACGGUCAUCACCUGGAAGUAUCCCAAUUAUUGUCACUUCGGGGUUGUCGGAUCAUAACACAUAAUAGGUGACUAUAGACUUGCAAGAUAGGAUCAAGAACUCACAUAUAUUCAUGAAAACAUCGGGCCCUAGUGACAAGCAUUAAGCAUAGCAAAGUCGUAGCAACAUCAAUCUCAGAACAUAGUGGAUACUAGGGAUCAAACCCUAACAAAACUAACUUGAUUACAUGGUAAAUCUCAUCCAACCCAUCACCGUCCAGCAAGCCUACGAUGGAAUUACUCACGCACGGCAGUGAGCAUCAUGAAAUUGGUGAUGGAGGAUGGUUGAUGAUGACGACGGCGAUGAAUCCCCCUCUUCGUAGCCCCGAACGAACUCCAGAUCAGUCCUCCCGAGAGAGAUUAGGGCUUGGCGGCGGCUCCGUAUUGUAAAACGCGAUGAAAUUUUCUCUCUGAUUUUUUUCUCCGCGAAACGGAAUAUAUGGAGUUGGAGUUGAGGUCGGUGGGGCUCCAGGGGGCCCACGAGACAGGGGGCGUGCCCCCCACCCUCGUGGACAGUGUGUGGGCCCCCUGGCCUUGAUUCUUUCGCCAGUAUUUUUUAUAUUUUCCAAAAGUUAUCUCCGUGAAUUUGUAGGUCAUUCCGAGAACUUUUGUUUUCUGCACAAUAGACAACACCAUGGUAGUUCUGCUGAAAACAGCGUCAGUCCAGGUUAGUUCCAUUCAAAUCAUGCAAGUUAGAGUCCAAAACAAGGGCAAAAGUGUUUGGAAAAGUAGAUACGUUGGAGACUAUCAUUAGGCCUCUUCCAGAAGUGAUAUUGUUGCUGAUGGUAAGAGCCAUCAAUCCUUCAAUCGACAACACAAAGGAAUUCUCAAUGAAAGCACCAAUGUCAGUGUCAAAACCGGUAGAUCUCGGGUAGAGGGUCCCGAACUGUGCGUCUGAGGAUUGAUGGUAACAGGGGAUGAUAGGGACACAGUGUUUACCCAUGUUCGGGCCCUCUUAAAGGAGGUAAAACCCUACAUCCUGCUUGAUUGUAUUCAAUGAGUAUAGGGGUUACAAGAGUUGAUCUACCUUGAGAUCGUAAUGGCUAAACCCUAGAUGUCUAGCCUAUGGGAAUUCUCAUAGCAUCUACGGAUUAAACCCUCUGGUUUAUAUACACACUGGAGGGGCCUAGGGUUGUACAAAGUCGGUUUGCAGAGGAAGGAAAUAAUACAUCCGGACACAAAAAACUUGCCAUUCAUUCAUAUUGGAGUCCUACCUGGACACGGGGGAUAAUCUUCGGCUUUAAUCUUCACGGUCCAUCAGUCCGGCCCAUAUUGAAUAUACUGGGCACCCGAGGACCCCCUAAUCCAGGACUCCCUCACAUUGCACACCCAAUGUCAUGGCCCUCGACGAAGCCGCUGCCCCACUCCUUGUCACGCGUGUAGUAGAGGAACUGAUCGCUGGCGUUGAGGAACUCUUGACUUGGACUAGAGGGAGGGGAGAAGACCAUUGAAUGGGGCUAAUUAUCCCCACCCCAGCCACGUCUGAUGCCCCUCGCCGCAUCCUAUGUACUCCACGCCACCCACUACUAGGAAAAGGGCUAUAGAUAAUAUGGACAUUAAUGCGGUGCGCCACUGCUAUAUAGCAGUGGCGCACCAUAUAUAGGUACGCCAUUAAACUCUAAAUACUAAUGGCGCACCACAUCCACGAUGCGUCACUACUAACGAAAUUUUUUUUAUUUUUUUUUAAAACUAGUAAUGGCGCACCGUGGGUGUGGUGCGCCAUUACCUUUUCAGUUUUAAAAAAAUAAAAGAAAAUGAUGGAAAUGUCAAAAAAAUAAAAGAAAAUAAGUUUUCCAUGUGAUAUGUGGUCUACUUGUUGGGAAAAUUUACAAAUAUGAAUUUCGACUUUAUUUGCAAAAUCUCUCUGGAAUUUGUAAAAUGGGCAUAACUUUUGCAUACGAACUCGGAUUAAAAAGUUUUUUAUAUGAACAAUCAUCUACUCGAAAAGUUACAUUUGAAUUGGACUGGGGGAACUUUGUUCAAGAUUUUCAGAAUCUCCAAAAACCUAACGGAAUAAAAGAUACGGGGUUUUAAGAUCUAGAGGGGGGGAAAUGGAAAAAAAUCAAACUUACUAGUGGCGCACCAUUUGCUAGGUGCGCCAUUAGUAACAGGAAAAAAAAUUGGUUUUGGAAAAAAAUUGGAAUUUUUUUCAAAAAAUGAUACGUAAUAUGACCGGGAAGUUUGAAAUAUUUUUCAAAAUUUCACCAUACUCAUGAACAUGAACAAAGACCUAGGCAUCAAGAAGGUUUAAUAGGAUUGAUAUGAUAGAUAUAUCAACAAGUGCCUGUUAAGUGAGGUGGUGCUGGGGUUGGAUAGAACUGCGAAGUUAUGGCGCACCAGGGGUGCGUUAUUAGUAUUAAUUACUAGUGGCGUGAUGCUAGUGGCGCAUCUGUAGUGCGACAUUAAUGGCCAAAACAGGUGCGCCACUAGUAGGCCUUUUCCUAGUAGUGACCAUAGUUGCCGAUGAACUGCCGGCAACAACCUCACUGUACCCAGCCGGCGGUUCAAUGGCCACAACCGCAUCUGUACGAGGCAGAAGGGGGAUAACGACCUGAUAGUGUCCAAGAGCUAUGAAUGUAUGAAAGUUCCCAACUAACGUGGAAACAUGAAGCAUAUGAAAACUCACUAUAUGACAAUGUAAUGUGCUACUUUGAAGCACAUAUGUAUGCAAAAAGGAUAGUAGUGUCCCCCUUUAUUUUAUUCUUCUUUUUAUCUUUUUUUUCUUCCAUUCCCUUUCUUUUUUCAUUAGCGCAUUGGCUUUUUUUUAUUCCUCACAAGGUAGGCAACACUCUAAUACAAUGAUAUGCACUCAUAACUCAACUCGUAAUAAAGACGAUGCAAACUGGAUGACUCUGGCAGUGCACCAGUAUGUGCAAUCAUCUAUAGGGCAGCCGAUUGGCAUGAUCGGCAGACGAAUCCUAGCUACGGGUUGUGCAACCCUCGGUGGAGAUCAUGGAGAUUGACCGUGGAGUAGCGCCAUGCAGAAGUUAUGGUGGAGCUAGGUCAGCAACUUGUGGCAGGUACCAUGUAAGAGGAUUAGGGGAGAGAGAAUUUGUGGAAUCAUUUUAUGUAUUACUAAUCCUCAAGGAUUAAUAUAUACUCCCUCCAUUUUUAAAUAUUUGUCUUUCUAGAGAUUUUGACUACAUACGGAGUAAAAUGAGUGAAUCUAUACUCUAAAAUAUGUCUAUAUACAUCCGUAUGUAGUAGUCCAUUUGAAAUCUCUAAAAAGACAAAUAUUUAGGAACGGAGGAAGUAGAGUACAAGACUUGAAGGCCAAGAAGUGUCUCCUAAUGAUACGGUAGGAAUCGUAUAUAAAAGAUUACAAUCAAUCUCAACAAAUCGUAAACUACACCUACACUUUAACCCGUGAGACAGUCAUGUAAGCAUGCACCUCCUCCUUUUACGGGCAUAUGAAACUUGCGCAUUGCAUUUUGGUCGGUUGACUCAAUUGACUGUAGGAGGAGGUGCGCGAGGUACCACAUGAAAGGUGACAAGGCAUGCGCAUUAGAGAAGUUCAUCGAUAACAUGCUGGCUAAUUUUUUUAAAAUAAUACAUUUUUCUUAAUAAAUUUGAGAAAUAUUACGCCGUUUAGAUUUAUUUCAAAAAUAAUACGGCAUUGGUCUCCGGGAAGCCGACUGGCUUCCAGUCGGCCACCAGUAAGACGAGUGGCCCAAUCGGCCACCGGUAAGCUAGUGGCCAGUCGGCCAGGUGCGCAUGCAGUCAGCCGGGUGCGCAUGCAAUCGGCCAGGGGUAGCCGAUAAGUGGCUAAAUGCCUCGAUGGAUGGACUGACGGGUGCAGGUGCAAGUGCUCGUGCUCCUGCUCACGGCCAGCUACAAUGCGCUCGUGCUCCCGCUCAUCCGAGUGGCUAUAUAUCUCAUCCGGGUGAUUACCACCUGCAGCACAGCCAGCUUCAAUGUGCUCGUGCUCCCGCUCAUGCCGCAUGGCAGCCUCGAGGCGCACCUCUACCCGCACAACGACGGCGGCGGCGGCGGCGGCAGACUAGGCUUCGGGCGGCUCGUGGGCAUCGCAAGCGACGUGGCCGAGGGGAUGGCCUACCUGCACCACUACGCGCCGGUGAGGGUCGUGCACUGCGACCUCAAGCCGAGCAACACUCUCCUCGACGACGGAAUGUGCGCCGUGAUCUCCGACUUCGGUAUCGCGUGGCUCGUCGUCGGCGCCGAAGCCACCAGCAACACGAGCGACGACGACUCCACCGCUCCAUGCAACUCCAUCGCCGCCGGAUUGUUGCAGGGUUCGGUUGGCUACAUGGCAGCUAGUAUGUGACACACACAUAAGUUUGUGCAUGCAUGCAUUCAUGCUCGAUGUGGCAUUGAUUAUCGGGAAGCGGGAGUGGGAGCACGAGCGCGUUGAAGCUGGCCAUGCAGCAUGAGCGGGAGCACGAGCACUUGCACCCAUCCGUCCCACUUAUCGGCUACCCCGAAGCCGAUAGGCAGCCUGUCGGCUACCCCCUGGCUGACUGCAUGCGCACCUGGCCUGACUGGCCACUACUCGGCUUACCGGUGGCCGAUUGGGCCUACUCGACUUACCGGUGGCCGACUGGAAGCCAAUCGGCUUCCCGACCGCCGAUGCCGUAUUAUUUUUGAAAUAAAUCUAUUUCUUAAAUUUAUUAAGGAAAAUGUAUUAUUUAAAAAAAAUAGCAACAUGCUGAGGGUCCCGGACAAUAUGGUCCGAGCCACAAGGUGGAUAUGGUAGGCCAUGGCCCACCCUGGAGUUUUGAGUGGCCUAUAUACAAUAUGUGAUUAGUUGGACCUAGGAAAAAUAAAAGCCCAACAUGCUCUCCCAAUCCAUCUAUGGCUAGCAAGAAAAAAGGGUGAUCCCUAUUCUGUGCGUAACGACCUACUAUGUACCCUCCCCCGUGCUGCCCAAUCAAGUUUUUUCUCCCCACUAGUUUUGGGAAGGUCCUAGAACCUUCCUUGAACCACUGUUCUUUUUCCCUUGUUUUUUCUUUUGGUUUUUUUAUGUUUUCCUUUUUUUCUCAAAUCUAUGAACUUUUUUAAAAAUCACGCACAUUUUUUAAAUUCACGAGUAAAUUUUAAAUUUGUCUACUUUUUGAAUACAUGAACAAUUUUCAAAUUCAUGAAUAUAUUGAAAUUUGAGAAUUUAAUGUUUGUGAAUAUUUUUAAAUUUGUAAACAUUUUUUAUAUUUGACGAGCAUUGUUCAAAAUUGCGAACAUUUUUUUGGAUUAGCAACUAUUUUUUAAUUAUGAUUUUUUUGCAAAAUAACAAACAUUUUUCGAAUUCAUUAUUUUUUAUGAAUUUUUGAAAAGUUUUCGAAUUCAUGAACAUUUUUUAAUUCACCAACUUAUUUUGAAUACAUGAAUAAUUUUUGUAUCAAUGAUAUUUAUGUAUUCUUGAACUUUUUCGAAUUUAGAACAAUUUUAAAAUUCAUGAAUAAUUUUUGAAAUCCUGAACAAAUUUUCAAACUCAUGAAAAUUUUAUUAAAUUCUGUUUUUUAAAAAAUUGGAAUAAUUUUCAAUUUUGUGAAGAGUUUUUGAAAUCACCUACAUUUCUUUUCGAAUUUGAGAUUCGUGAACAGUUCUUGAAUUAAAAGAAACAAGAAAAAAGAAAAAAAAGAAAAACAAAAUAAAAUAGGGAAAACUUUGUUUUUGCCACUCUGGUUAUUGCCAAUUUUGCUUAUGCCACUAUAGAAUUUGAAAUUUCACUUUUGCUACUCUUAGCUUUUGACAAUAUAUCACUUUUGCCAUUCCGUGGCAAAAGCAAAAUUUUCAGAGUGGCAAUUAUGAUACAUUGUCAAAAGCUAAGAGUGACAAAAGUGAAAUGAAAAAUUAUCGUUUUUGCCAUGGAAUGGCAUUUGUAAUGUAUCGUCAAAAGUUAAGAGUGGCAAAAGUGAGACGUCAAAUUCUAGAGUGGCAUAAGCAAAACUAGUACAAAUGCCCGUGCGUUGCACCGGGCAAAAAAAAAGAGGAACAACCAGCUUCAUAUUCCAUUGUGCACCAUUUUAUAUAUCUAAUUUUAUUAAACAUCGAUAAUAAUAAGGUAGAACUGAUUAUUACUUUUUGUAGAAUCAAGUCUUCAUCAGAUGGAAGAGCAGUUUUGCAUGAAUAGUUCGUCAAUCAUUUUUUGGCUUUUCUGGAAAACAUGAAAGUUUCCUUAUUUUUAAUAGAAGUUAAGGUUUACAUAAAAACUGGAACACUUCUUUUAAGAAUAAUGAACAUUUAAAAAACGCAUUUUAACAGGUGUUUUUUGUUUAAAGAAUGUUUUGAUUUUUUUUGUACAUUUCCAAAUGAUUUUUUUUAGUAAAAAUGAAAAAAAUUCUUGGAAAUUUUUAUGAUUUUUAAAAAAUUGCAAAAAUAUUUUUUUGAAACAAAAACAGUGUGAACAUGUGUAAAACUAUGAACAUUUCUAAACGAAUUUCUUCAGUAAACAAUUUUGAAAAAGUGCAAACAUAUUUUUUUGAAACAAAAAUAGUGUGAACAUGUGUAAAACUGUGAACAUUUCUAAACUAAUUUCUUCAGUAAACAAAUUAAACUGGCCACAUGCAAGGUCGGGUUCUGUGCUCUACAUACAAUUAUAAAUCGAACAAAUUGAUCUUAAGAUUACUAAGUAAAACCAAGUAUCACAGUAAGAAGAAGACACCAAUGAGUAAUUGGAAUGUAUCAAGUCCUGAAAAAAUCAUCUUAGGUGUUUUACAGUUAGUCAGCGGACACAUGACCACCAGCACAGCACUACCCAUUUUCUGAUCAAUUGUUUCGUCCAAGCACCAUCAGCUGCUCAUUACGGACAGUCCAAGAGCAUUAAAGCAACCAUUGAAGCAAAGCGGCAACAAGCUAAGUCUUCGGCUGAUCUCCAGCAACAUAGGUGGCAAGGUGGCGUCAGUGAAGGUCAAGUUAAGCCUGACGAACAUGUCCUUCAGGUUGUACGGCGUGUGUCGUUCCUGUGUGCCGGCACGCCAAAGAGUUCCCGCCCAUCUCGCCGAUGGUCGUACAUAGGGUGGCGGGAGGGCAUCGCUGCGAGCCACCGUGGUGGUCGGUGUCGACCUGGUUGCUGAGACACCAAAGUGCCUGUCAAUUGUUAACGACGCCGAAGUGCCUGUCAAUAAAAUUUACUGGAAAUACCAGUCUAUAUAGCUCAACAUCAGGAGAUGCAGGACCACAUGAUAUAUUGGGUCUUUAACAGAAUCAAAUACAUGGUCAGAGUGUUCCUGAGAUUGAUGGUUUUUCAAAUCAGUUUCUGCUAUUGUAUAAGUUAGCCAUGAACAAGGUUUGCUAUUCUAUAAGUUAGCCAUGAACCAGAUUUGCUAUUCUAUAAGUUAGCCAUGAACAAGGUUUAUACCAAUAAUUCUGGAAAAUAACAAUAAUAAGAACACCACUGCAGCUAGUAAAAAAAUCAUGACAAGAUAUAGACGGAAAGAAUGCUUAGUACAGAUGCAAUUAAAGGGUUUGCUUUCAGUCAAGGAAUAUAGCAUUACGUCAAUAGCAAAACGUGAUUAUAUUACAGCCUUGUCAGCAAAUUGAGAAAUAUUGGGCAUCUCAAUUCCU